rnacentral:pre_miRNA from 1 species
CACCGGAACCCGUAGAUCCGAACUUGUGUAAUUUGGAUGGUCACAAGCUCGUUUUCAAGGGUCCGGUUG